rnacentral:rRNA from 1 species
AUUGAACGCUGGCGGCAGGCCUAACACAUGCAAGUCGAGCGAGUGGCGGACGGGUGAGUAAUGUAUGGGAAACUGCCUGAUGUAGGGGUAUAACUACUGGAAACGGUAGCUAAUACCGCAUACCAUCCGAUGUGCCCCUAGGGGAUUAGCUAGUAGGUAGGGUAACGGCUAACCUAGGCGACGAUCCCUAGCUGGUCUUAGAGGAUGACGACCCACACUGGGACGGAGACACGGUCCAGACUCCGACCGAGAACAUCAGUUUUCAAUAUUGCACAAUGGGCGCAAGCCUGAGUCAGCCAUGCCGCGUGUAUGAAGAGGGCCUUAGGGUUGUAAAGUACUUUCAGCGGGGAGGCGUUACCGACAGAAGAAGCACCGGCUAACUCCGUGCCAGCAGCCGCGGUAAUAC